rnacentral:rRNA from 1 species
GACGAACGCUGGCGGCGUGCUUAACACAUGCAAGUCGAACGAAGUGGCGAACGGGUGAGUAACGCAUAAUCAACCUGCCCUUCAGAGGGGGACAACAGUUGGAAACGACUGCUAAUACCGCAUACUUAAGGAGGGGUUUGCGUCUGAUUAGCUAGUUGGCGGGGUAACGGCCCACCAAGGCGAUGAUCAGUAGCCGGUCUGGGAGGAUGAACGGCCACACUGGGACUGAGACACGGCCCAGACGCCUACGGGAGGCAGCAGUGGGGAAUCUUCAGAAAUGGACGCAAGCCUGACGGAGCAACGGCGCGGGAGUGAUGACGGCCUUCGGGUUGUAAAGCUCUGUUAAUCGGGACGCGGUACCGGAAUAGAAAGCAACGGCUAACUACGUGCCAGCAGCCGCGGUAAUAC